UACGAAGGGGGCUAGCGUUGUUCGGAAUUACUGGGCGUAAAGGGCGCGUAGGCGGAUUUGCAAGUUAGGGGUGAAAUCCCGGGGCUCAACCCCGGAACUGCCUUUAAAACUGCUAAUCUGGAGUCCCGGAGAGGCAGGCGGAAUUCCCGGUGUAGCGGUGAAAUGCACAGAUAUCGGGAGGAACACCAGUGGCGAAGGCGGCCACCUGGGCCAACACUGACACUGAGGCACGAAAGCGUGGGGAGCAAACAGG
rnacentral:rRNA from 1 species